rnacentral:rRNA from 1 species
UGGGUUAGUGGCGGACGGGUGAGUAACGCGUGGGUAACCUGCCUUACACAGGGGGAUAACACUUAGAAAUAGGUGCUAAAACCGCAUAAGCACACAGCUUCGCAUGAAGCGGUGUGAAAAACUCCGGUGGUGUAAGAUGGACCCGCGUCUGAUUAGCUUGUUGGCGGGGUAACGGCCCACCAAGGCGACGAUCAGUAGCCGGCCUGAGAGGGCGGACGGCCACAUUGGGACUGAGACACGGCCCAGACUCCUACGGGAGGCAGCAG